ACUUAACUACAGGAUAACUUUACAUUACUUAUAUUUAACGCUUGCCUGUUUCUUCUGACACGUCUGCUGUUUCAUGCAUAGUUUCGAAGAUGAUGAAAAAAGGAAAAGAAAUGAACACCUACUAAUAAAACUUUCAUAGAUACCGAAGCUUGUAAAAUUUACGAAGAAGGUGUGAAAAUUAUAUUGUAGAAAUGUUACAUGAACUCCACACGACAUUGUAUAGUUAAGAACUAAAUUAGAAGGUAGCGAGCACUCCAAGACCGAGCGGUAUCUGUAAGUAACCGAAAAUAAUUGAAGAUAUAUUAGGGUAAUUUACUAAUGUCCCAUAAUCUAAGGUUAAUAAGCAUAUACAUAUAACAGCAUAUUCAAACUGUACAUUUAAUUUGGUAAACAUAAAAUCUCGACAAUGAUCUCGGUUGACAAUAAACUUAUCAACUUAC
rnacentral:lncRNA from 1 species